rnacentral:rRNA from 1 species
UACGGGGGGUGCGAGCGUUGUCCGGAAUCACUGGGCGUAAAGCGCGCGCAGGCGGUCUUCCAAGUCAGUGGUGAAAGCCCGGAGCUCAACUCCGGAACUGCCAUUGAAACUGUAAGACUUGAGGAUGAGAGAGGUGAGUGGAAUUCCCAGUGUAGAGGUGAAAUUCGUAGAUAUUGGGAAGAACACCGGUGGCGAAGGCGGCUCACUGGCUCAUAUCUGACGCUCAGGCGCGACAGCGUGGGGAUCAAACAGG